GCCUGGGUGGCUCAGUCGGUUGAGCGUCCGACUUCGGUUCAGGUCGUGAUCUCACAGUUUGUGGGUUCAAGCCCCGCAUCAGGCU
rnacentral:tRNA from 1 species